CUCUUUUGUUGUCAUCGUCCUAGCUGCUCUCUUUGUCACAGGUCGCAUCAGUUGUCGUAAAGACGAGGAGAAAGGUGAACCCAUAAAAGACCGCACUGAAUCCGACCUUCUAGCUGAAUGAAGUCAGGUAGACUCACGUCGUGUUCCUUCAAACCUCUGACUCUGGAACUCCAAAGUUAUUGAAGCUAAUCUGCCUUAAUCCCAACAUGAAGAUGAUUUCAUCUGUUUGACCAUCAUGAUGUCAUACUUGAAAACAGCUGAGUGAGGGAUCAAAUCCAACCAGGUGUUUGUUCUCACAUUUUAAUGAACGCCGUGGAGAUCGGGCUUUUUCCAAUCAGAGCCCGUCGACUUUGGAACGACCUGAGGAGCAUGUUCAUGACACAUCCUUACACCUCUAACGUUUACUCUGCUUUAAAUACACUGCAGCUUUAAUGCAUGAUCAUUUCAUUAAUAUCAUCUGUGAAUGGAAUCCAGGGUUUAAAACAUAAAGGUCUCCCUGUGAACAUCCCAGAGAGCCUCUGACUGAGGAUUUAAAGAAACACUUUGAAAAACAGGAUUGAUGUGAGAAAGUGUGAAAUAGAAGUCCCUGUUUGUGUUUGCUCUCCUGUUGAUCCAGUGUGUGAAUGAAGAAAUGAGAGCAAAGGCGCUUUACGACUGACGGAGAAUCAAAGCCUCAGUACUUCACUGAACUACAGCUGCUGUUUGACUGUAAAUACAUGAGAUUCUGUUGCUGCUACACUGAGAUAUAAUGAGACUUUAAGAUGUGGGACGAGGAUGUAUCUCUUCUUUAGACUUUAUAAAGCCGAGUGUGUCAGGUAGAGACAAACACAGAGCUGAAGUAUGCUCCUAAACGUUUCUUUAUGCUGCUGAUGAAUGACGCUCUGAUGGUUACAACGUGAUAUCAGGCUGUGCUUCAUCAUUCACAUCCACCUGCUGGAAUAAAACAUGAUCAAUGUUA